rnacentral:rRNA from 1 species
UACGGAGGGUGCAAACGUUGCUCGGAAUCAUUGGGCGUAAAGCGCACGUAGGCGGCUCGUUAAGUCGGAUGUGAAAGCCCCGGGCUCAACUCGGGAAGUGCAUUCGAAACUGGCGAGCUUGAAUAUGGAAGAGGGUCGCGGAAUUCCCGGUGUAGAGGUGAAAUUCGUAGAUAUCGGGAGGAACACCAGUGGCGAAGGCGGCGACCUGGGCCAUAUUGACGCUGAGGUGCGAAAGCGUGGGGAGCAAACAGGG